GGGGGCGUACCGGAUUUCGACGGGGAUUUUGAGGCCGGAUAAGCGAGCAGCGCGCAGACCGCUAUAACCUGCAAACUUUAAAAUUAAACGCUAAUAGAACAGAAUUAGCUGCUGCCUAACUAAAGGCGGCCGUCUCUUCCGCGAGUACCGCGGCGCGGAAAGAGGCGUCGAUUUGCGGUGAACGUUAACCAGGCAAUUGCCGUAGCCCGGUAACGGAAAACGGCAUGUUCCUUCCAAAGCUUUGCAUGCUGUGCUCUGAAAGGCGAAAACGAACAACACGCUACGCUCGUAGAAAGUCCCGCGGAUGAGUUUUCGGACAGGGGUUCAACUCCCCUCGCCUCCACCA
rnacentral:tmRNA from 1 species